ACGAUUCCAGAAGCCGCAGCGGCCAGAAUGAGUGAGGACGCGCGUGGGGCACCCGGCAUAGGGUUGUUUUUUGUUGCUAUUGUGGUGACUACAAGACUAAGGAACAUGACGUGGCGGAGAGGAGAGACGAGAAAGAGUCAUGUCAGUGAGGAAGAAGACGGAGUGGCUCGAGUAAAUGAAAGAGACUCACGAAGAACAUCAAAGUUUGCGAGUAAUUGCCGGAGAAAGUUGAAUAUUCCAUGUGUCAACAGAGAGCGGAGCAGAGGAACGCACCACACGGGAACUAUUUUUUUCAACGAGGCUCGCGGAAGAAUACCAGGACGGAGCAUGACGUCAUCAAGGAGAGGAGUGGUGACUGGUGAGGGUGGUUCCUGACUCUCCCUGGGACGUGGCGGGGAGUUUCCCUUUGUCUUCUGGGUUGUGGUGGUGGUGGUCGUGGUCGUGCGGGACUGUCCAGGAGCGGAUGAGACGUCCAGAAUGGUUCCUACAGGACGAAAGAGAAGCUAUUUCGGCGCUUCGAGACCUGAAUAGGAGCAUCUCGGCCCCACGGCGACAACACCUGUCUUCCUUCCGCCCCCCCACGACCCCCUGGCACCUUUUCCAGGCCGCCAGGUUAAGGGGAAGCUGGCCAAGUCGUCUCCUUUUGCUGUCUCUUGUACGCAGUACCUCGGAUGCCUUGUACUGACUGCCACGUACUGUUUCUGGUUCUUGUAUGUAGUAGUACUAGUAAUAGUAGUGGUUUCUCCAUUUUUAUCUGCAUAUAGUCUUGCCAUACUGUUCUGAAGAUAGUCGUUUGCUAAAAAAGA